GCCCUGUCUACAAGUGUGCUGCGGUUUUGGGCGGUUCAUUCUCCAGGAUUUUGACUUUGGUGGAUUGGCCGUGUUUACCAACUUUUCUCCCCCCCAAAGAAAGAGGGAGGGGGAGGGGUCCAGUCGACAGUUAUGUUUGCCUUACCUUAUUCUGAUUUGGUUAUGUUUUACUGACUGUGUUAAUUGUUUGUUUGCUGCUUGAGGUGUCAAUAAAGAAGGUAUAAGCAAAUAUGUGCCUUCUGUCUUUAAAGCGGCACUGUCAUGCCAAACUUACCUUUCCUCAAUCUCUUCCUCUUCUCCCCCUCUCUCAGGAUCUGUUCUUCUUUUCUUCCUGUCUUCUUUAGUUUUAUUUAAAAUCAUAAGACAAAGUAGGGACUCUUUGCCUUAUGGAGGAUUCCUCCGCUUGACCAGCUCUGACCAGCGGAGGAGUAAAGUGUGCUUCAUUUCCGCUGGUCAGAGCAAUUUUCCCAUGAUCCUUACCUUUCCUCUGUGUUCCCACGAUGCUUCCUGUCAUUUUACACGAAACUGCUGAAUUGCAUUCUAACUGAAUGAGAACAGUAUGUUCGUUUCUUUUAGAACACAAUUCGGCAUUUUAUUCGGAUCACAAUUUCAUUCGAAUGAAUGAAACUCCGAUCCUAUUCAU